GCCGCUUAACCCAGUUCACUUCUUAUUCUCCCAGGUUUCCCUUCUUCCUGCCGACAUACUUCCUUCUUCUCUUCGUUCAUCUCCCCACGACGGCGUCUUACACCUUCUCUCACUCACCCUCUCUUGCUACUCUCGGUCUCAUCGAACUAAGGAGUGAGAAGCAUUCUGCUAAGCCAUGGCUUUGAACUCAUGCAUUCAGCCUCAAACUCGAUCAAAUUCAGCAUCUGAAAGUACUCCAUCAUUGCAGAAGGAUCGAGAUGGAUAUUGAUAGACGCCCUGGAGGAGUGCAUGAAGGGAGCACAAAUGCUUACAAGGCACUUGUUGUGGCUGAGUAUACUGGAGUCGAUAUUCAGUUUGUGAAGAAUUUUGAAAUGGGGGUUUUCAAACUAAACUCUUGAGUUCAUCAAGAUGAACCCCAUUGGAAAGUUGAGUCUUUUGAUAUUUACAGACUCCUACAUUCCAUAUGUUUCUUAUGUCUGGUUUUCCUGAAAAUUUUA